rnacentral:rRNA from 1 species
GAUGAACGCUGGCGGCGUGCCUAAUACAUGCAAGUCGAGCGAACAGACGAGGAGCUUGCUCCUCUGACGUUAGCGGCGGACGGGUGAGUAACACGUGGAUAACCUACCUAUAAGACUGGGAUAACUUCGGGAAACCGGAGCUAAUACCGGAUAAUAUAUUGAACCGCAUGGUUCAAUAGUGAAAGACGGUUUUGCUGUCACUUAUAGAUGGAUCCGCGCCGCAUUAGCUAGUUGGUAAGGUAACGGCUUACCAAGGCGACGAUGCGUAGCCGACCUGAGAGGGGGAGGGGCCACAGUGAAGUGGAGACACGGACAGGACGAAAGCGGGGGGCAGAAGUAGGAAAUGUGCAGAAUUGGGGAGAAGUUGGAGGGGGAAGGGCGGAUGGGGGGAUGAGGUUGUUAGGAAGGUAAGACUAUGUUAUUGGGGAAAAAAAAGAGGGAAAGGAACAAGGCAGGGCUGGCGGUGGCCUAAUAAGAGGGAAAAGGAAAGAGCAGGG